GGGUGGACACUGCCAUCAGAACCACGGGCCCCAGGGUUCCGGAAAGAUGCCAUCCUGGACCCUCCCCUAUGCCCCUCUCCUCCCUUCAGAGCUCUGAGCAUGCUGUACGUUGAUGCAGAUACAUUGGCCUGUAUGCCUUCCCCUUCUCUGGCUCAGGGCUGGGCACACGCCUGGACCCUGGGAUGAACACCCUUCGAGUAGAUCUGAGCCCAGUCCUCAGAGAGAAGCCAAACCCAGCCAAGUCCUGCUUACAUCAGCUGAACCCCCGCCAACCUGCAGAGGUGUGCGAGAGAAACAAAUGCAUAUUGUGGUAUGUCCCUGAGGAUCUGUGAUUGUUUGUCACCCAGCGACAGCUGACUUCUACAGCCACACACUACCAUCUGCUCCCAGUGUGUUUGUGUUCACUCCCAAUUCCCUGGAUUCCAACUUCAGACUCCUGACCCCGACUUCAGUAAGGGUCUCGUGCCUCUCCAUCCAGCUAGGACCUUGGCUGAUCUCUCCGUGCCACCUCUGGGGAGGCCUCCUCAUGUCAGGCCCCAGCAGUGGGGCAGAGGGGUGGUGAGGAGAUCUGGAAAAUUAUAGGAUUUCCCUUGUUGUGCUGGAUUGAAUUAAUUACAUGUCUGUGAACCUUCUAGGCCAGCACUGUGCAACAGAAACAGAAUGUGAGCCAGGUGUAUAAUCUAAAAUUUUUCAGUAGCUACAUUAAAAAGUAAAAAAGAGGCCAGGUGCAGUGGCUUACACCUGUAGUCCCAGCACUUUGGGAGAUUACAGGGCAGGGAAUCACUUGAAGCCAGGAGUUCAAGGCCAGUCUGGGCAAUAAAGUGAGAUCCUGUCUCUAUAAAAUAUUAAAAAAUUAGCUGGGCAUGAUGGUGCACACCUCUAGUCCCAGCUACUCAAGAGGCUGAGGUAGGAGGAUUGCUUGAGCCCAGGAAUUGGAGGCUGCAGUGAGCUGUGAUCGUGCCACCGCACUCCAGCCUGGGUGACAGAGUGAGACCCUGUCUCAAAAAUAAAUAAAUAAUUAAUUAGUUAAGAAAUAAACAAUUAAUUAGUUUAAGUAAAAAGAAAGUGAAAUUAAUUCUAAUAAUACAUUAAAUUUAGCCCAAUAUACCCCAAAUAUUAUUUCAACAUGUAACCAACAUUAAUUACUUAAAUUAUUAUAUGUUUCUAAUAUAUUAUAUAUACGCAUUAUUUAACAGAUAUUUUGCAUUCCUUUUCAUGCCCAGCCUCUGAGGUCCAGCGUGUAUUUAACAGGCACGGCAUGCCUCACUUCAGACCGGCCACAUCUCAGUCCUUAACAGCCAUAUGUGGCUUACGGCUACCAUACUGGACAGCGCAGCUCUGAAUAAUGGAAGGCAAAACUCCAUGUCACCAGUGUGUAACGUGGUGCCUGGCACACAAGGGGCACUCAGUAAAUAAGUCCUGAAUGGAUGAAUGAUAAACACAUAGGCAUUGCUUUAAAGCUGAGAACAGGUGGGCAGACCUGUUACCCACGGGGAAAAAAAAAAUGCCUAUGGCUUAGACCCAUCAAAUUUUCAUUAUAACGGAUGGUGGUGUUUUGGAAGGCCACGUUGGCUGGUGCUGUGUCUGCGUCUGAAGCAGACUUGCUCAAAGGGGUCAUAUGUGAUGAAAAUACAACCUCAGGCAGCAUUUCCCAAACUUGUCUGACCACUGCAUGUUAUUUAAAUUGUUCUGUUUUUGUCAGGAUGCCAAUAGAGCAUCCUUAUGUGAUACUGUUUAAGUUGAAGCAGACAGAAAAAAAAUGAUCUCAGAGUUGAAUUAAUUGCUGUAAGAAAUGAUCAAAAUUUGAUUCAUAUGCUU
ensembl:lncRNA novel transcript